rnacentral:sRNA from 2 species
GAGCGGCCUCCGCCGAAUUCGGUACGCCUUCGCGGCAGCCGGAACCGGGGACCCAACCGAACAUGGGGUGAAUCGGCCCGACCGCCCUUCGGGGCAGCGGCCGUAGGGCAUGCCUUCCGGAAUCGACCGCCCGAACCCGACAGCUAACUCGGUAGGCGGAGCACGGAAGGAGUA